rnacentral:lncRNA from 1 species
AGAUCAGCAGCUUCAAGCACCCCAAACUCACCAGGGACCCCCAGAUCAGUGUCCCUGCAGGAGCCUCACCCUCCUAUUCACAAAGAUCGGGGGGUCCCAGGCAGAACGUGGGGGCAGAAUAAGUGGGGGGACUCUUUUGGCACCCCCCCUCUCCAAGAGACGCCCCGAUCACAUCAAUCAUCAGCGGUGACACCAAAACAUCCCAAAAGCCUCCAAAACCCAAAAUCCCGCCCCAAAGCACAGGGCCAGGCAGGGCUGCACAUAGGUAGGUGUUAUAUUUCUGAUAAUAAAUAAGCUUUUUUUAAUAACACUGACAUGGAACAGAGACACCCCCCCAUAUCCCCCCUCCCCAAAAUAUAGUCCAUAAAACAGCCCCUCCUCCCCCCUCCCCAACCCACAGGGUCCCCCAGGGCCAAGCAGCAGAUGAGGGAUGGGGGGAAGGGGGAGAGAACAGGAUGAGGCCAUGGAUGAGUCCCAUGAUGUGCACCCCAAACCCCACAGGGACCAUCCCAGGUGACGUCCCGGAGGGUCUGAGCACCCCAAACCCUCCAGGAUUGGUGUCCUCAGGGUCCUGUGCACCCCAAACCCCACAGGGACCAUCCCAGGACUGAUGUCCCCAGGGUCCUG